CGCCUGUUUAUCAAAAACAUCUGCAUCUGCAAAACCAAAGGGUAAGAGGUCCCGCCUGCCUAGUGACAAUCUAGUUCCAAACGGCCGCGGUAUUUUGACCGUGCAAAGGUAGCGUAAUCACUUGUCUUUUAAAUGAAGACCUGUAUGAAUGGCAUAACGAGGGCUUAGCUGUCUCCUCUUUCCAGUCAAUGAAAUUGAUCUCCCCGUGCAGAAGCGGGGAUAUAACCAUAAGACGAGAAGACCCUAUGGAGCUUUAGACGUCAAAGCAGAUCAUGUUAAACACCCCCAAAUAAGGGACCAAACUAAAUGACCCCUGCUUUAAUGUCUUCGGUUGGGGCGACCAUGGGGAAAUAAAAAACCCCCACGCGGACUGGGAGCACUAAACCCCUUCUUUACCUCUCCUCCCACAACUAAGAGCUACAGCUCUAACUAACAGAAUAUCUGACCAAUCAUGAUCCGGCAAUGCCGAUCAACGGACCAAGUUACCCUAGGGAUAACAGCGCAAUCCCCUUUUAGAGCCCAUAUCGACAAGGGGGUUUACUACCUCGAUGUUGGAUCAGGACAUCCUAAUGGUGCAGCCGCUAUUAAGGGUUCGUUUGUUCAACGAUUAAAGUCCUACGUGAUCUGAGUUCAGACCGG
rnacentral:rRNA from 1 species